rnacentral:rRNA from 1 species
UUUAAAUUUAGAGUUUGAUCCUGGCUCAGGACGAACGCUGGCGGCGUGCUUAACACAUGCAAGUCGAGCGAUGAAGCUUCCUUCGGGGAGUGGAUUAGCGGCGGACGGGUGAGUAACACGUGGGUAACCUGCCUCAAAGUGGGGGAUAGCCUUCCGAAAGGAAGAUUAAUACCGCAUAAUAUAAGAGAAUCGCAUGAUUUUCUUAUCAAAGAUUUAUUGCUUUGAGAUGGACCCGCGGCGCAUUAGCUAGUUGGUAAGGUAACGGCUUACCAAGGCAACGAUGCGUAGCCGACCUGAGAGGGUGAUCGGCCACAUUGGAACUGAGACAC